GUGCAAUAUAGGAAGAAUUAUUUCAUUAAGGGUAAUACAAACUUUUUAAUAAAAAUAAAUAGUAAUAGGCCGAUUAGAAAAAUCUCUCGAAUUUUGGAAAGUCCAUCUUAGUGAAUCUUGUGUGGUUGAAGUGGCGGGACCCUUCCUCUUUGUUGGACACUCCAUGAGACGAAGAGCUCUUUUCGCCAUGAAGUUAAGAUGAUUAUUCCCAAGAAACGAAACACAAAUAAUGAGUCAAGGACCUCCUUUAGCUUAUCCUCCAUUCUUCGCAUCUGAGCUCUUGUUUCCCCGGAUUCAAUGGUUGAUCCCUACAAGCCAUCACGUACCUCCUGCAAGUCGUACUCCAACUAUGGAUGGCAAUUAGAACCGUUAAAACUGAAAAUCGCGGUUAACCGAAUCGAAUGAGGCGAAAAAAAUCGAAUCGAUGGUGCAAUGAGACGGAUAUGGUAUUUAAUUUUAAUGAAUCGGUUUGUGACGGUGAGGAUAUUUAUGCCGUCGAACCGAAACUGAAUCAAUUACCCCCUUAAAAAAAAUUCUUUUAUUAGGGAUGACAAGAUUUAGUGAGGAGGAAGUUGAUGAAAAGAUACAUUUUUUUAUUUAAAUUUUAGUUAAAACCAUUUUGGAUUAGGUAGUAUUGUUGUAUUCUCUACUUGAGUGUUGACCUAUGUAAAUAAGAGUUGUGGGGGAAGAAUGAAGAUUGAAGAUGAGUUAAGGUUGAAGCUUUUGAAUUAUUGAGCAUGAAGCAAGUAACUACAAUGCACAACAAUCAAG
rnacentral:lncRNA from 1 species